rnacentral:rRNA from 1 species
CACUCCUACGGGAGGCAGCAGUGGGGAAUAUUGGACAAUGGGCGCAAGCCUGAUCCAGCCAUGCCGCGUGAGUGAUGAAGGCCCUAGGGUUGUAAAGCUCUUUCACCGGUGAAGAUAAUGACGGUAACCGGAGAAGAAGCCCCGGCUAACUUCGUGCCAGCAGCCGCGGUAAUACGAAGGGGGCUAGCGUUGUUCGGAUUUACUAGGCGUAAAGCGCACGUAGGCGGACUAUUAAGUCAGGGGUGAAAUCCCGGGGCUCAACCCCGGAACUGCCUUUGAUACUGGUAGUCUUGAGUUCGAGAGAGGUGAGUGGAAUUCCGAGUGUAGAGGUGAAAUUCGUAGAUAUUCGGAGGAACACCAGUGGCGAAGGCGGCUCACUGGCUCGAUACUGACGCUGAGGUGCGAAAGCGUGGGGAGCAAACAGGAUUAGAAACCCCGGUAGUCCCA